AUGUACCUCCAGGACCUGCACACCACCAGGACCUGCACGCCUCCAGGACCUGCACACCUCCAGGACCUGCACACCUCCAGGACCUGCACACCACCAGGACCUGCACACCUGCAGGACCUGCGCACCUCCAGGACCUGCACACCUCCAGGACCUGCACACCAUCAGGACCUGCACACCAUCAGGACCUGCACACCUCCAGGACCUGCACACCAUCAGGACCUGCACACCUCCAAGACCUGCACACCAUCAGGACCUGCACACCUCCAGGACCUGCACACCAUCAGGACCUGCACACCUCCAGGACCUGCACACCACCAGGACCUGCACACCACCAGGACCUGCGCACCUGCAGGACCUGCGCACCUCCAGGACCUGCGCACCUCCAGGACCUGCACACCACCAGGACCUGCACACCUGCAGGACCUGCACGCCUCCAGGACCUGCACACCAUCAGGACCUGCACACCUCCAGGACCUGCACACCUCCAGGACCUGCACACCAUCAGGACCUGCACACCUCCAGGACCUGCACACCUCCAAGACCUGCACACCAUCAGGACCUGCACACCUCCAGGACCUGCACACCAUCAGGACCUGCACACCUCCAGGACCUGCACACCAUCAGGACCUGCACACCUCCAGGACCUGCACACCUCCAGGACCUGCACACCAUCAGGACCUGCACACCUCCAGGACCUGCACGCCUCCAGGACCUGCACGCCUCCAGGACCUGCACACCUCCAGGACCUGCACACCAUCAGGACCUGCACACCUCCAGGACCUGCACACCAUCAGGACCUGCACACCUCCAGGACCUGCACACCAUCAGGACCUGCACACCUCCAGGACCUGCACGCCUCCAGGACCUGCACGCCUCCAGGACCUGCACACCAUCAGGACCUGCACGCCUCCAGGACCUGCACGCCUCCAGGACCUGCACACCAUCAGGACCUGCACACCUCCAGGACCUGCACACCUCCAGGACCUGCACACCAUCAGGACCUGCACACCUCCAGGACCUGCACACCAUCAGGACCUGCACACCUCCAGGACCUGCACACCAUGA
rnacentral:lncRNA from 1 species